AGAGUUUGAUCCUGGCUCAGGAUGAACGCUGGCGGCGUGCCUAACACAUGCAAGUCAAGGAGAACGUUUUCUUCGGAGAAUAAGUAAACUGGCGAACGGGUGAGUAACACGUAGAUUAUCUGCCCUUUACUCUGACAUAACACAGAGAAAUCUGUGCUAAUAUCAGAUGUUGCCUUCGGGUAAAAGUUUUAUACGGUAAAGGAUGAGUCUGCGGUUGAUUAGCUAGUUGGUGUGGUAAAUGCUCACCAAGGCGACGAUCAAUAACUGGUUUGAGAGGACGAUCAGUCACACUGGAACUGAGACACGGUCCAGACUCCUACGGGAGGCAGCAGUGAGGAAUUUUGGUCAAUGGGGGAAACCCUGAACCAGCGACGCCGCGUGUACGAUGAAGGGGCUUUGCCCUGUAAAGUACUGUCAGAGGGGAAGAAAAGCCUGGUUGCCGGGCUGGGACUGUACCCUCAGAGGAAGGACCGGCUAACUACGUGCCAGCAGCCGCGGUAAUACGUAGGGUCCAAGCGUUAUCCGGAAUUACUGGGUAUAAAGGGUGCGUAGGCGGACCUGUGCGUCAGGGGUUAAAUAUCCGGGCUUAACCCGGAAAAUGCCCUUGAAACGGCGGGUCUUGAGUGUGAGAGAGGAUGGUAGAAUUCCUGGUGUAGCGGUGAAAUGCGUAGAUAUCAGGAGGAAUACCGGUGGCGAAGGCGGCCAUCUGGCUCAUUACUGACGCUCAGGCACGAAAGCGUGGGGAUCAAACAGGAUUAGAUACCCUGGUAGUCCACGCCCUAAACGAUGUUUGCUUGGUGUUAGGUACUUGUUACCUAGUGCCGGAGGAAAUCCGUUAAGCAUACCACCUGGGGAGUACGAUCGCAAGGUUGAAACUCAAAGGAAUUGACGGGGGCCCGCACAAGCGGUGGAUUAUGUGGUUUAAUUCGAUGCAACGCGAAGAACCUACCCGGGCUUGAACUGCAACGGCACCCUUCUGAAAGGAAGGUUUCCUUCGGGACUGUUGUAGAGGUGCUGCAUGGCUGUCGUCAGCUCGUGCCGUGAGGUGUUGGGUUAAGUCCCGCAACGAGCACAACCCCUAUCCUUAGUUGCCAUCGGGUAAUGCCGGGAACUCUAAGGAGACUGCCCACGCAAGUGGUGAGGAAGGUGGGGAUGACGUCAAGUCAUCAUGGCCCUUAUGUCCGGGGCUACACACGUAAUACAAUGGCGAGUACAAUGGGCGAAGCCGCAAGGUGGAGGAAAUCCAAAAAGCUCGUCUCAGUUCGAAUUGUAGUCUGCAACUCGACUACAUGAAGCUGGAAUCGCUAGUAAUCGUAGAUCAGCGUGCUACGGUGAAUACGUUCCCGGGCCUUGUACACACCGCCCGUCAAGCCAUGGAAGCUGGAGGCGCCCGAAGCCACGUAUGUGUCUAAGGCGAACUCAGUAACUGGGGCUAAGUCGAAACAAGGUA
rnacentral:rRNA from 1 species